AAGAGUUUAGGGUCUCCAUGGCCCCAUCUCCAACCCUUUGUUUAACGAACCGUAGUUGCUUUGGCCGGUGGAGGGCCUGCCCUCUAAGCCGCCCCGUUUCACGGUCGGCGCCGGCCGGAGGAAAUCAAAACUCGUGUCUUUGUAUGUCGUCUGAGCAUGAAUUUAAUAGUUUA
rnacentral:misc_RNA from 1 species